GCAGACCGCCACCACACAGGCCUCGGUGCAGAACUUGGCAGUGAGGAACCAACAGGCCUCAGCUCAAGGACCCCAAAUACCAGGCUCUACUCAGAAGGCCAUCCCUCCUGGAGCGUCUCCUGUUUCUGGCCUCUCCCAGGCCUCAAGCCAGGCUCUAGCUGUGGCACAGGCUUCUGGGGCCUCAGGCCAGUCACUCAACCUCAGUCAAGCUGGUGGAGGCAGUGGGAAUAGCCUCCCAGGCUCCAUGGGUCCGGGUGGAGGUGGCCAGGCGCCUGGGGGUUUGGGUCAGCUGCCUUCUUCAGGACUAGCUGGUGGAAACUGUCCCCGGAAGGGUACAGGAGUGGUGCAGCCCUUACCUGCGGCUCAAACAGUGACUGUGAGCCAGGGAAGCCAAACAGAGGCAGAGAGUGCAGCGGCCAAGAAGGCAGAAGGAGAUGGGAGUAGCCAGCAGAGUGUGGGCAUGAACCUGACUCGGACAGCCACACCUGCCCCCAGCCAGACGCUUAUUAGCUCAGCCACAUACACACAGAUCCAGCCCCAUUCCCUGAUUCAGCAACAGCAGCAGAUCCACCUCCAGCAGAAGCAAGUGGUGAUCCAGCAGCAGAUUGCCAUCCACCACCAGCAACAGUUCCAACACCGCCAGUCCCAGCUACUUCACACAGCCACGCACCUCCAGUUGGCCCAGCAGCAGCAGCAGCAGCAGCAACAGCAGCAGCAGCAGCAGCAGCAGCAGCAGCAGCAGCAGCAGCAGCAGCAGCAGCAACAGCAAGCAACAACUCUCGCUGCCCCUCAGCCACCCCAGGUCCCACCUACUCAGCAGGUCCCACCUUCCCAGUCGCAACAGCAAGCCCAGACUCUGGUGGUCCAACCCAUGCUUCAGUCUUCACCCCUGUCUCUUCCACCUGAACCAACUCCCAAACCACCUAUUCCCAUUCAGUCCAAACCUCCUGUAGCUCCUAUCAAACCUCCUCAACUAGGAGCUGCUAAGAUGUCAGCUACACAGCAGCCACCACCACAUAUCCCUGUGCAAGUUGUCGGUACCCGGCAGCCAGGUACAGCCCAGGCACAGGCUUUGGGAUUAGCGCAACUGGCAGCUGCUGUACCUACUUCCCGGGGGAUGCCAGGGGCAGUCCAGCCUGGCCAGGCCCACCUGGCCUCCUCGCAACCUUCAUCCCAGGCUCCUGGUGCACUUCAAGAAUGUCCUCCUGCAUUGGCUACUGGGAUGACCCUUGCUCCUGUGCAGGGAACGGCACAUGUGGUAAAGGGUGGGCCUACAGCCUCCUCUCCUGUUGUGGCUCAGGUCCCUGCUGCUUUCUACAUGCAGUCGGUGCACCUGCCGGGUAAAGCCCAGACGUUGGCUGUGAAACGCAAAGCUGAGUCUGAGGAGGAGAGAGAAGACCUCUCUGCAUUGGGCUCUGUGCUUCCUACAAAGGCAUCACCAGCAGCAGAGAGCCCAAAGGUAAUAGAGGAGAAGAACAGUCUUGUAGGUGAGUAGCCAACAUCUAAAAUCUUACUGGUGCCAGAGAAUAAACAAGUGUUUUCAGUGAGCCAAAAGAUAAGUCUAAUUUAGUAGAAAAUGGGCCAGGACAUGGUGAGCAAUAAGUAGAUACAGACAUAGGGCUCCAUGGUGAGUGGUCAGAGAUGAGCGUGUUGUGGAGGCUCAGGCUUGGUAAUGGGCGAGUCAGUUGUGUCGUCUACACGCUCCUUAUGUGUGUUUGUUUUUCAGAGAAAGCUGAACCAGUGGCCAGUUUGAAUGCUAAUCCUCCAAACAGUGAUCUAGUAGCCUUGGCCCCUACCCCAUCAGCACCACCUCCUACUCUGGCCUUGGUGUCCAGACAGAUGGGGGACUCAAAACCCCCACAGGCCAUUGUGAAGCCCCAGAUUCUCACGCACAUCAUUGAAGGCUUUGUUAUCCAGGAAGGAGCAGAGCCUUUCCCGGUGAGGGUGGGGCCUGCCUGAAAGUGGGGCUGGGAAGGGAGAGGUGAUCUCAUUUUUUUUUUUUUCUCACAUUCCUUUAAAAGAAGGAAAGUGCAGAACUAUUCCAUAGUUAGAGAAUGGUUCAUUAUGUGCUUACUUAGAGGGUGAAGGACACAAGGGCAGUUUGUGGGCCAGAAAGUGAAAAUACUGAGAACAGAAGGAAAGUCAGCUUUUAAAAUUACAGUGUUUGGUGAGUACAUUAGGUCGAGUUGUAAUGAAGGAAACCAGGAUCUUGACUCCUGCAUUUAUUGUAGCUUUGUGGAGAAAACCAUAAUAUGGGGGAGUAAGUGUAAGGACCCAAGUCUCCAGUGACUUAGAUGGAAAAAGCCAGCUAGAGUCCCUUGUCUGCCAUCUUGAAAGGUCUUGGGGCUAGAGAGACGCCUCAGCAAUAAAUGAAUAUAUUGUUCUUUCAGAGGACCUGAGUUGCGUCCCCAGCACCCGUGUCCCAGUUAUACCAACUC
rnacentral:lncRNA from 1 species